UGGUGUCAGGUUUUUAUGCGAUUUCAUACCUCUGAUCCAAGUUUUCUUUGAAUAAUAACAGAUGUAGCCUUCAAAGAUGGAUUAUCCUUAUUGUAGAAGAAAUUUAAACA